rnacentral:rRNA from 1 species
UACAGAGGUCCCAAGCGUUGUUCGGAUUCACUGGGCGUAAAGGGUGCGUAGGUGGCUUGGUAAGUUUGAUGUGAAAUCUCCGGGCUUAACCCGGAAAUGGCAUUGAAUACUAUUGAGCUGGAGGUUUGGAGGGGGGACUGGAAUUCCCGGUGUAGCAGUGAAAUGCGUAGAUAUCGAGAGGAACACCAGUGGCGAAGGCGAGUCCCUGGACAACACCUGACACUGAGGCACGAAAGCCAGGGGAGCAAACGGG